rnacentral:rRNA from 1 species
GAUGAACGCUGGCGGCGUGCCUAAUACAUGCAAGUCGAGCGAACGGACGAGAAGCUUGCUUCUCUGAUGUUAGCGGCGGACGGGUGAGUAACACGUGGAUAACCUACCUAUAAGACUGGGAUAACUUCGGGAAACCGGAGCUAAUACCGGAUAAUAUUUUGAACCGCAUGGUUCAAAAGUGAAAGACGGUCUUGCUGUCACUUAUAGAUGGAUCCGCGCUGCAUUAGCCAGUUGGUAAGGUAACGGCUUACCAAGGCAACGAUGCAUAGCCGACCUGAGAGGGUGAUCGGCCACACUGGAACUGAGACACGGUCCAGACUCCUACGGGAGGCAGCAGUAGGGAAUCUUCCGCAAUGGGCGAAAGCCUGACGGAGCAACGCCGCGUGAGUGAUGAAGGUCUUCGGAUCGUAAAACUCUGUUAUUAGGGAAGAACAUAUGUGUAAGUAACUGUGCACAUCUUGACGGUACCUAAUCAGAAAGCCACGGCUAACUACGUGCCAGCAGCCGCGGUAAUACGUAGGUGGCAAGCGUUAUCCGGAAUUAUUGGGCGUAAAGCGCGCGUAGGCGGUUUUUUAAGUCUGAUGUGAAAGCCCACGGCUCAACCGUGGAGGGUCAUUGGAAACUGGAAAACUUGAGUGCAGAAGAGGAAAGUGGAAUUCCAUGUGUAGCGGUGAAAUGCGCAGAGAUAUGGAGGAACACCAGUGGCGAAGGCGACUUUCUGGUCUGUAACUGACGCUGAUGUGCGAAAGCGUGGGGAUCAAACAGGAUUAGAUACCCUGGUAGUCCACGCCGUAAACGAUGAGUGCUAAGUGUUAGGGGGUUUCCGCCCCUUAGUGCUGCAGCUAACGCAUUAAGCACUCCGCCUGGGGAGUACGACCGCAAGGUUGAAACUCAAAGGAAUUGACGGGGACCCGCACAAGCGGUGGAGCAUGUGGUUUAAUUCGAAGCAACGCGAAGAACCUUACCAAAUCUUGACAUCCUUUGACAACUCUAGAGAUAGAGCCUUCCCCUUCGGGGGACAAAGUGACAGGUGGUGCAUGGUUGUCGUCAGCUCGUGUCGUGAGAUGUUGGGUUAAGUCCCGCAACGAGCGCAACCCUUAAGCUUAGUUGCCAUCAUUAAGUUGGGCACUCUAAGUUGACUGCCGGUGACAAACCGGAGGAAGGUGGGGAUGACGUCAAAUCAUCAUGCCCCUUAUGAUUUGGGCUACACACGUGCUACAAUGGACAAUACAAAGGGCAGCGAAACCGCGAGGUCAAGCAAAUCCCAUAAAGUUGUUCUCAGUUCGGAUUGUAGUCUGCAACUCGACUACAUGAAGCUGGAAUCGCUAGUAAUCGUAGAUCAGCAUGCUACGGUGAAUACGUUCCCGGGUCU